GUUCCACCCAUCACCUCCACCUUCCGCCCUGUGCCGGCUUUCUGUGCUACAAUCGCUGUGUCCCGUCUUCGCGCUGCCCUUGCGGCGCCCGAGCCCACAAUGUCGGGCCCCAACGGGGACCUGGGCAUGCCGGUGGAGGCGGGCCCGGAAGGCGAGGACGACGGCUUCGAGGAAGCAGCCCAGUCUAACCAUGAGGAAAACACCCUACAAAUCCCGAGAGGUACGUUCUGCACAAUACCUGAGCAGCGCUUCUCCAGACUGUCAAGGUCAUCAGAACCAAGGAAAAUCUGAGAAACUGUCAAAGCCGAAAGAAACCUAAAGGGACGUGACAAUGUAUGUAUAUGCAUAGCUGAUUCACUUUGUUGUGAAGCAGAAACUAACACACCAUUGUAAAACAGUUAUACUCCAACAAAGAUGUUAAAAAAAAAAAGAGAGACGUGACAACUAAAUGUAAUGUGGGAUCUUGGAACAGGAAAAAGGGCAUUAUGUACAAACCAAGGAAAUCUGAAUAAAGCAUGGACUUUGGUUAAUAAAGUAUCAUUGAUGGUUUGUUAAUUGUAACAAAUGUAUCAAACUAAUAUAAGAUGUUAAUAAUACAGGAAACUGAGUGCAGGGUAUAUGGGAGCUCUUUUCACAAUUUUUCUGUAACUAAAACUAUUUUAAAAUUAAACGUUUAUUUUUAAAAACUUGUCA